GCGCGGGUAGCUCAGUGGUUAGAGCACUGCUCUGAUAAGGCAGGGGUCCGUGGUUCAAAUCCACGUUCGCGCAC
rnacentral:tRNA from 1 species